UGAAGGAGCUUGGGCUGUACACACAUUUGGGAUUAGAAAAACCCUGUUAGCAGAAGUACUAGUUAUUAACCUGCAUUGAGCUAUCUAUUUUUUGCUGUCUCUCUUCAUCACUAGAGUAAUUCUACCCUUAAAAGAGUAUUGAAAUCCUUGUCAUGCUAUUUGGCUUCCCUUUUUGCAGGUGCAAGCUGGUCUUUCUGCACUUGAAGAUGCAAUGGAGGCAGGAUAUGAAGAUUUCAAGGUAAUCAACCCAAUUUCUCAAAAUCUUCAUUUUUUUUAAUCGUAAGAUUGAUUUCUGCAGAAUGUUUUCCUUCAAACAAGAGGUUGGCUAAUCCCAUAUGCUUGUAAAAGGCAGCCCAACGUGCAUUGCAUCUGCCAAUGAGGUGCACGGGUGCCAAUAGUAAUCUCAAUAACAUUUAGGGCCCGUUUGGAUAUACCACCAAAUAAGUUACUUUUUCUACUUACAACAGUAGAUAAGUAACUUAUUUCAGAUAAGUAAGUUUGGUUUAAGAUUACUUCAUCACUUCAGCUUAAGAAGUAGAAACCAAGAUAAGAUACUUGAGGCAUAAGUAGCUUAAGUAACUUAAGAACCAAACUCUGUUUUCAUUAUCUCAGCAGCCAAUAUAAGUUUCUCUUUGUAUCCUUUCAUGCCUCUUCAUUGUUUAUAGUCAAUGCCACCAAUGGUUACAAAUGCCUUAGCCUGCUACCAACGGGCUAAGGCUGUAUGUACAUCUCCUCAUGUGAGGCUCAAAAGCCCAAAAAUUAGGCAGAUCCAAGACUGAGGUGGACCACACUAUAGGAAACAGUAGUAAUGGGAAUGCUCACUGUUGAAACCUUAUAGAGCCCAUCGUGACGUUCAUAUGCCAUCCAAACUAUCCACAAGGUCAUUCCCCUUCAUCAAAACAAAUUCAAGGUAUUGACAAUAGACAUUCCUGUUAACAGCAUUAUUCAUUUUUAAAUUUUUAUUUUUUUUAAAAUGAAAAGUGAAUCUUUCUUUUUAUUGAAAUUUCAGUUAUAGAAAAUUUCUAGGAAUCUCUGAGGAGGAGAAAUGUGGCAACUCUCCUGAGUUUGUAUUCAUAAUGUGACUUCCCUAUUUUUAUUCUAUUUGUCUAUUUUUGCAUUGAUUCAUUUUCGUUGUUGAUGGAAAAUACAUCUAGUUUCUUGAAGUAGUUCGACUCAAAGGACAUGCCAUCACCCAAAAAGAAGCUGUUCUGUGAAGAGAUACCCAUCUCCUGUAGGAAGUGAUACGUCGGCCAGUCCCAAGCCCAGGUAGGGGAGGACUGAGGGCAAGUGGGUAGCUACUGUGAACUGCACAAGUGGAGAUGCUUCUCCAGAUUGUCAUUGUGUACUGAAACUCCAUAUAUCUUGGGUGACAAACACCCUUUCCGGAAAUGGACAGUCAAGUAAGUACUGUGUCACAUGCACUGGAGAGUACCUCUGCAGUAGUCUGAUUCAUGGUAAUGUCACUCUAUGUGUGUGUGGGAAAUGUUCCUAUAAGGUCGAGCUUGACACCACGAGUCACUGGUGAAAAUAGGCCCGACUGGAACUUGUCAGCCCCUGAAAUGGGCGAGUCAUGACUUAUUCAUCGACGGAAUGAGUUGGUCCGAGUCGGCCUGUUAGAGACCAUGCUUGUCUUAGAGUAGAAAAAUGCACUAGAAAAUAUUUGAGUUUUAUGAUAUCUCACCAGUUUAUUGUUUUGACAGGCUUAUAAUCCUUUGCUGGAUAUUCACAUUUCUUAUUUUUUUUUCUUUCUUUUCUUUUUGGUACUAAGAGUAAAAUUGUGUUUUCAGGUUUGCCAGCGACACAUGUACGGCUGGGACUGUAGGAGAAAAUAGUCAUUGGUGAUAGUUUGAAAAAUCAACUUCUCUUUUGAUAGUUGGAAAUUAAUGUAUGCAUGGCUGUUCGAGAGGAUAUAUCCAGUACAACACAAUGAGUGCACUAUCAUUAUCUUUUAGCCACUUUCUAUAUAGCGCACCAUACUGAAUUUUGAAUUGCAAUUUGUGCUGCUAUGGUCUCUGUUUUCAGUAUGGUGUAAGAGGAUAGACGAGCUUGUUGAUGGCUAGGUUUUCAUGUUCAUUUGGCUAGGUUUUGGAAGCCUUUGGAGUAGACCCCAUCAAGGGGUUUACAGAUUUUCAGGUGGUGGAAAAUGCAAAAAUCUAGGCAGAAACGGAGGCAGCCAUGAUACGAUUGGAUAUAAGUGAAUAUAUGGAGCGGCAAAGAAAGUAGUUGGCAAGAUUAAAGUGGAAGAAGAGUAAGACAAGGUCUUCUUGCCCAGAGUACGAUAAACCUCCUAUAAAUACCCAUCCAUCAUAAGUUCGUAACAGACCAUAAGCAACAACAGCCAUGGCCAUACAAAAAUCUCUCUUGCUUUUCUUCUUUUAAUAUUAGAAUUUCUUUCUUCCAAUGCCUUUACAACAACAGCAGCAUCCACACUCGGAGAAGCAGAGGCUCUCUUGGAAUGGAAAACCAGCAUCUUCUCACCAUAAGCUCUCCAUUCAUGGUCACUUCCAGCUGCUAAUGCUAGUGCCACCACAAUCUCUCCAUGCAAAUGGUAUGGGAUCUCCUGCAACGGCCUUGGAAGUGUAAUAGAGAUAAGCCUACCGAGUGCAGGCUUGCAAGGUAAGCUUGAUAACUUAAGCUUCUCCUCAUUUCCAAACCUCUUCCGUCUCAAUCUCAGUGACAACCCACUCACUAGAACCAUCCCAGCUGAUAUUGGCACUCUUUCCAGACUCAUCUCCCUCAUUAUCUCCAUGAAUAAUCUCUCUAGAGUUCAACCUCUUUCAAUGGAUAACCUUUCUCACCUUUCAGAGCUCAACAUCUCGUCUAAUGAAAUAACUGGGCCUAUUCCUCCGUCUUUAGGUAACUUAACCAGGAUGACAAUCCUCUACCUCUAUAACAAUCAAAUUUUUUUGGUUCAAUUCCUGCACAAUUAGGAAAUCUCAAGAAUUUGGUUCAGUUGUCAUUGUUAAAUAACAGUCUGACAGGUCCAAUCCCUUCUACUUUAGGUAAUUUGAGAAACCUUACACUUUUGUACCUCUACAGAAAUCAAAUUUCUGGUUCAAUUCCUGCACAAUUAGGAAAUCUCGAGAAUUUGAUUUUGUACUUGGUACUAUUGUAUUGA